UAGGGGUGUGUCCAGGGAGAACUAGCACGGUUCAGUAGGGGUGUGUCCAGGGAGAACUAGCACGGUUCAGUAGGGGUGUGUCCAGGGAGAACUAAUGUGGUUCAGUAGGGGUAGUAGGGGUGUGUCCAGGGAGAACUAACAUGGUUCAUAGGGGUGUGUCCAGGGAGAACUAACAUGGUUCAGUAGGGGUGUGUCCAGGGAGAACUAGCACGGUUCAGUAGGGGUGUGUCCAGGGAGAACUAAUGUGGUUCAGUAGGGGUAGUAGGGGUGUGUCCAGGGAGAACUAACAUGGUUCAGUAGGGGUGUGUCCAGGGAGAACUAAUGUGGUUCAGUAGGGGAGUGUCCAGGGAAAACUAGCAUGGUUCAGUAGGGGAGUGUCCAGGGAAAACUAGCAUGGUUCAGUAGGGGUAGUAGGGGUGUGUCCAGGGAGAACUAACAUGGUUCAGUAGGGGUAGUGGGGGUGUGUCCAGGGAGAACUAACAUGGUUCAGUAGGGGUGUGUCCAGGGAGAACUAAUGUGGUUCAGUAGGGGGUAGUGGGGGUGUGUCCAGGGAGAACUAGCAUGGUUCAGUAGGGGUGUGUCCAGGGAGAACUAGCACGGUUCAGUAGGGGUGUGUCCAGGGAGAACUAAUGUGGUUCAGUAGGGGUGUGUCCAGGGAGAACGAACAUGGUUCAGUAGGGGUGCGUCCAGGGAGAACUAGCAUGGUUCAGUAGGGGUGCGUCCAGGGAGAACUAGCGUUGUUUAGUAGGGGUGCGUCCAGGGAGAACUAGCGUUGUUUAGUAGGGGUGUGUCCAGGGAGAACUAGCGUGGUUCAGUAGGGGUGUGUCCAGGGAGAACUAGCAUGGUUCAGUAAGGGUUGUAGGGGUGUGUCCAGGGAGAACUAGCAUGGUUCAGUAGGGGUGUGUCCAGGGAGAACUAGCACGGUUCAGUAGGGGUGUGUCCAGGGAGAACUAGCAUUGUUCAGUAGGGGUGUGUCCAGGGAGAACUAGCAUGGUUCAGUAGGGGUGUGUCCAGGGAGAACUAGCAUGGUUCAGUAGAGGUUAGUAGGGGUGUGUCCAGGGAGAACUAGCACGGUUCAGUAGGGGAGUGUCCAGGGAGAACUAGCACGGUUCAGUAGGGGUGUGUCCAGGGAGAACUAGCAUUGUUCAGUAGGGGUGUGUCCAGGGAGAACUAGCAUGGUUCAGUAGGGGUGUGUCCAGGGAGAACUAGCAUGGUUCAGUAGGGGUGUGUCCAGGGAGAACUAGUAUGGUUCAGUAGGGGCGUGUCCAGGGAGAACUAGCACGGUUCAGUAGGGGAGUGUCCAGGGAGAACUAGCACGGUUCAGUAGGGGUAGUAGGGGCGUGUCCAGGGAGAACUAGCAUGGUUCAGUAGGGGGUAGUGGGGGUGUGUCCAGGGA